UAGAUAGAAGAGGGAGGGAUUGGAAACGAACGACAAUUUCAAUGAUAUCCGUUGAAACACUCCUUGUCUUGUUACGUAAUCACGUUCUGGCGGGAUUGUAACAAAGAUUUUCUCUGACUCAGUUCUUGCAGACGUUGUUAGAGUCUAACUUAGACUUCUGGGUUAGGCCAGAUGUCCGUGGCUUAACUGUAUUCAUACCUGAAAUGCCGUGAAAAUUUUGAAUCGUCAUUCACAAAAGAAUGAAUUUAGGAUUACUGUGAGGUCAUUUGUGGAGAUGGUUAGAUAUCUGUUCACAAUACCUGGAGUCAUCAGCAACAGGUUGUGCCAGGACCCCGUUAAAUUGGCCAACAAAGACAGAGGGGUAAAUCCAACGAGAACCCGAAUGUUAGUGAAUUUGCUAAGAACACAGGCUCUUCGGGUGAUCAACAGCACAUGUGCAACAAUUAGAGGCAACUGCUGAAAGACAAUAGAAGACGACCAUUGCAGCUAGGUGAUGAGAAUAACCCCUUCCCAAAAGAAGGCAGCAUAAUGUAUAGAGAAAUCAAUUGUUCACAUGUUAAUUCAAUCACAUUCACAUGUUCAAUUCUUAACUGUGAUAAAUAAUUGUUCAAUUCUAUAAA